GACGAACGCUGGCGGCGUGCUUAACACAUGCAAGUCGAACGAAGAGCGACGGAAGCUUGCUUCUAUCAAUCUUAGAGGAGAACGGGUGAGUAACGCGUAAUCAACCUGCCCUUCAGAGGGGGACAACAGUUGGAAACGACUGCUAAUACCGCAUACGAUCUAACCUCGGCAUCGAGGAUAGAUGAAAGGUGGCCUCUACAGGUAAGCUAUCACUGAAGGAGGGGAGUGCGUCUGUUACGGUAGUUGGAGGGGUAACGGCCCACCAAGGCGAUGAUCAGCCGCCCGUCGGAGAGGAGGAACGGCCCCCUUGGGGCUGAGACGUGGCUCAGACUCCUACAGAAAGCAGCACUAGCGACUCUUGCGCAAUUGAAGAAAGACUGUCGCAACAAGGCCGCGUGAUAGAGCACGGCCUUCGGGUUGUUAAGCUCUGUUAAUCGGGACGAAAGGUCUUCUUGCGAGAAGUAAGAACGAUUGACGGUACCUGCAGAGAAAGCCCCGGCUAACUACGUG
rnacentral:rRNA from 1 species